rfam:Dipodomys ordii contig_45223, whole genome shotgun sequence.
GGGACGGUGGUUCAGUGGUAGAGCACUUGCCUUGCAUGCACGAGGCCCUGGGUUCGAUUCCUUAGUACCA